GAUGAACGCUGGCGGCGUGCUUAACACAUGCAAGUCGAACGAAGCACCUUGAUUCGAUUCUUCGGAUGAAGAUCUUGGUGACUGAGUGGCGGACGGGUGAGUAACGCGUGGGUAACCUGCCUCAUACAGGGGGAUAACAGUUAGAAAUGACUGCUAAUACCGCAUAAGACCACAGCACCGCAUGGUGCAGGGGUAAAAACUCCGGUGGUAUGAGAUGGACCCGCGUCUGAUUAGGUAGUUGGUGGGGUAACGGCCUACCAAGCCGACGAUCAGUAGCCGACCUGAGAGGGUGACCGGCCACAUUGGGACUGAGACACGACCCAAACUCCUACGGGAGGCAGCAGUGGGGAAUAUUGCACAAUGGGGGAAACCCUGAUGCAGCGACGCCGCGUGAGCGAUGAAGUAUUUCGGUAUGUAAAGCUCUAUCAGCAGGGAAGAAAAUGACGGUACCUGACUAAGAAGCACCGGCUAAAUACGUG
rnacentral:rRNA from 1 species